rnacentral:rRNA from 1 species
GUGAGGAAUUUUCCGCAAUGGGCGAAAGCCUGACGGAGCAAUGCCGCGUGAAGGAUGAAGGCCUAUGGGUUGUAAACUUCUUUUCUUAGAGAAGAAUAUUGACGGUAUCUGAGGAAUAAGCAUCGGCUAACUCUGUGCCAGCAGCCGCGGUAAGACAGAGGAUGCAAGCGUUAUCCGGAAUGAUUGGGCGUAAAGCGUCUGUAGGUGGCUUCAAAAGUCUCCUGUCAAAGAUCAGGGCUUAACCCUGGGGCGGAAGGAGAAACUCUGAGGCUAGAGUUUGGUAGGGGCAGAGGGAAUUCCCGGUGGAGCGGGGAAAUGCGUAGAGAUCGGGAGGAACACCAAAGGCGAAAGCACUCUGCUGGGCCACAACUGACACUGAGAGACGAAAGCGAGGGGAGCAAAAGGGAUUAGAAACCCCAGUAGUCC